UACAGAGGGUGCUAGCGUUGUUCGGAAUCAUUGGGCGUAAAGGGCGUGUAGGCGGUUUGCUAAGUCAUGUGUGAAAUCCCUCGGCUUAACCGGGGAACGACGCAUGAAACUGGCAAGCUAGAGUACCAAAGAGGGGGGUGGAAUUCCCGGUGUAGCGGUGAAAUGCGUAGAUAUCUGGAGGAACACCGGUGGCGAAGGCGGCGUCCUGGACCAACACUGACACUGAUGAGCGAAAGCCAGGGGAGCAAACGGG
rnacentral:rRNA from 1 species